UAAUUACGUUAGCUACGAGAACAUGGCCAUCUUCGUUAGUUCAUCCUACCAGUACAUCAUCCUCGCAAUCAUCUUCUCUAAAGGCAAACCCUACCGGAAAUCCUUGUUCACUAACUAUGCCUUCCUGGUGAAUCUAAUAAUCGUAUUUGGAGUGAACGCCUGGCUGAAUAUAUAUCCUCCGGAUGAAAUUGUGGAAUUAUUUGAGUUGAAAAUGCCACCCAA